rnacentral:snRNA from 1 species
CAUCUCUUCGGAGAUACCUAUACUAAAAUUGGAACGCAUUAGGGAAGAUUGGCUUGGUCCCUGCACAAUGAAUGGCAGGCACAAAAGUGAAGCGUUCCACGUUUUU